UUUAUGACUGAGAGUUUUAGGGUUGCUGUUCUCUGAAUUGAGGUGAUUUUACAGAAUCACGUGGCAGUACAAGUUCAAAGAGAUAACUUUCCGGAACGCGUCAAUAGAGAGGCUAUACCACCACAUGCUGUUCUGCAGUCUGAUGAUUUGCCACAGCUACUGAAUUCUCCUUUUACCUAUUGAGAGACCCUGCUGAAAUUUUAUAGCACAUUAGAUGCAGAACCACAGUGAAAAGUCAAUGGAAAUCAGAGAAAAAAUAUUGAAGUACUGACUAAUAGCACGUCUUUAUCAACUCUUGCCCAAAUUAGAUAAAGUGAAUAAGAUAAUCAAGAGAGCACAAAAGGAGCCAAGACUAUUUCAUUGUUCUUCCAAUAUAAAGUAGAAGCCAUUAUUCCUCAAGGAUUAGAGAAGAAAAUGUAUCUACAUUUAUUAAUUUUGAAAUGUGAUCUUCAAAGUUUGAAGCCAGAAAAUGUAAAGAAACAUUAAUAAUCAAUGAAAGAAACACUAUGUAAAACCCUUUGCCCUGUUUGACACUAGAGAAAAACAAUAGUUAUGAUGAAAAAAAAUAAUUACGAGAAGCACUCACCAAUUUAUACAUUUAUUUUUCUUUCAUGAUGCUCUAACUAUAUCACAAGAUAUUAAAUUGACGUGUAUUAUUUAAAAAAUAAAAGGUAAGAAAAUCAAUUUCACAAAUUCAGCCUUCUACAUUCCCAUGAAAUCCUAGAUCAAAUGUAUUUCAACAGAAGAAAAGAUUGUUGAUGAAAAAUGUCGAUAGGGAAAGUUGUGAAAUGGGUUUGAAUUUGAGAACCUCAGUGCAUGAUUUAGAGCAUAUUUCUAUCAAUGAUUUCAUACGACCCUAAUCACUUGGCUAAAUGUUUAUAAAUUGGAAAAUUCUACUUGUACACAAUUAUUGCACAUAAUGGUGUACAUAUCUUUGUUACGUGAAGGCACAACAGCAGAAUUCUCACAGCAUUUUUGUCCAUUUUCUGCAAGGGACCUGUAGAGCGCUGUUUCACAAAUUCUAACACCAUUGUUCUAUUUUAUCGAUUCUUGCAAAUUUAAUUGUAGCUGUCCAUGGAUCUUCAUAUACCUAGUUACCUCAUGGCUCACAUGCAUGCCCAAGAGGUCCUAUCCCUUAACAUUAGAUAUCUUAAGUUUCAUUCCUGUGAUAGGGAUUAAAUUAAAUCCACAAUAUUUCAAAUCUUCAUUUCUUCAUAAACCUCAAUUAUAUUUACAAUCAUUAAGUAGUCUAAUUUCUAAAUUCAACUUUUAAACAUCCUUACAUGUCCUCAGCGAACCAAUAUGUUCAUUAAACUUGGUUCUGAAGGUCAAAACUUAAAAAAUCAGCACAGUGGUGUCAGAAUUAGCAAAAUUAGCAGCCAGUCUCCCUUGUAGAAAUGGGUCGAAAAUGCUUAAAGUUUUUCCAUUAUUUCACUAUCAAAUCCCAAUUCCAACCUUCAAAUCAUGUUAAUACACACUUCCUUCAUGUAUAUAAUUGUUUACCAUCUAUCAGCCAAGCAAAAUAAAAUUCCAAGUAACAAUUCCCUAUCAAAUUGUGUUUGAUCUCCAUAUCACAUUACAUAAAGAUAUUGUCCCUUCAAGUUGACAGAU
rnacentral:lncRNA from 1 species